UAAGGAAUAUUGGUCAAUGGACGCAAGUCUGAACCAGCCAUGCCGCGUGAAGGAUGAAGGUCCUCUGGAUUGUAAACUUCUUUUAUCUGGGACGAAAACGGGAUUUUUAUCUCAAUUGACGGUACCAGAGGACUAAGCACCGGCUAACUCCGUGCCAGCAGCCGCGGUAAUACGGAGGGUGCGAGCGUUAUCCGGAUUUACUGGGUUUAAAGGGUGCGUAGGUGGGCUUAUAAGUCAGUGGUGAAAUCUCCGAGCUUAACUUGGAAACUGCCGUUGAUACUAUAGGUCUUGAAUUAUCUGGAGGUAAGCGGAAUAUGUCAUGUAACGGUGAAAUGCUUAGAUAUGACAUAGAACACCAAUUGCGAAGGCAGCUUACUACAUAUAAAUUGACGCUGAGGCACG
rnacentral:rRNA from 1 species